UGAGGAAUAUUGGUCAAUGGCCGGAAGGCUGAACCAGCCAAGUCGCGUGAGGGAAGACGGCCCUACGGGUUGUAAACCUCUUUUGUCAGGGAGCAAACCUCUCCACGCGUGGGGAGUCGAGAGUACCUGAAGAAAAGCAUCGGCUAACUCCGUGCC
rnacentral:rRNA from 1 species